rnacentral:rRNA from 1 species
AUUGAACGCUGGCGGCAUGCUUUACACAUGCAAGUCGAACGGCAGCGCGGGCUUCGGCCUGGCGGCGAGUGGCGAACGGGUGAGUAAUGCAUCGGAACGUGCCCAGUAGUGGGGGAUAGCCCGGCGAAAGCCGGAUUAAUACCGCAUACGACCUGAGGGUGAAAGCGGGGGACCGAAAGGCCUCGCGCUAUUGGAGCGGCCGAUGUCGGAUUAGCUAGGUGGUGGGGUAAAGGCUUACCAAGGCGGCGAUCCGUAGCUGGUCUGAGAGGACGACCAGCCACACUGGGACUGAGACACGGCCCAGACUCCUACGGGAGGCAGCAGUGGGGAAUUUUAGACAAUGGGGGCAACCCUGAUCCAGCCAUGCCGCGUGCGGGAAGAAGGCCUUCGGGUUGUAAACCGCUUUUGUUCGGGAAGAAAUCCUCUGGGCUAAUACCCCGGGGGGAUGACGGUACCGGAAGAAUAAGCACCGGCUAACUACGUG